rnacentral:rRNA from 1 species
UACGGAGGGUGCAAGCGUUAUCCGGAUUUAUUGGGUUUAAAGGGUGCGUAGGUGGAACUAUAAGUCAGUGGUGAAAGUUUGCCGCUUAACGGUAAAAUUGCCAUUGAAACUGUAGUUCUUGAGUAUGUUCGAAGUAUGCGGAAUGUGUUGUGUAGCGGUGAAAUGCAUAGAUAUGACACAGAACACCAAUAGCGAAGGCAGCGUACUAGGGCAUUACUGACACUGAUGCACGAAAGCGUGGGUAGCGAACAGG